UGGACAGAUUAUUGUAUUUGACUGUAUUCACGGCGUGAAAUAGGGGAUUACACUGUUUUUAAAACGGAAAGUGAAUCAAUUAACAUAAUAGACUCAU
rnacentral:pre_miRNA from 1 species